UACGGAGGGGGCUAACGUUGUUCGGAAUUACUGGGCGUAAAGCGCACGUAGGCGGCUUUGUAAGUUAGAGGUGAAAGCCCAGGGCUUAACCCUGGAAUUGCCUUUAAGACUGCAUCGCUAGAAUCGUGGAGAGGUGAGUGGAAUUCCGAGUGUAGAGGUGAAAUUCGUAGAUAUUCGGAAGAACACCAGUGGCGAAGGCGACUCACUGGACACGUAUUGACGCUGAGGUGCGAAAGCGUGGGGGAGCAAACAGGG
rnacentral:rRNA from 1 species